rnacentral:rRNA from 1 species
GACGAACGCUGGCGGCGUGCUUAACACAUGCAAGUCGAACGGAAAGGCCCUGCUUUUGUGGGGUGCUCGAGUGGCGAACGGGUGAGUAACACGUGAGUAACCUGCCCUUGACUUUGGGAUAACUUCAGGAAACUGGGGCUAAUACCGGAUAGGAGCUCCUGCUGCAUGGUGGGGGUUGGAAAGUUUCGGCGGUUGGGGAUGGACUCGCGGCUUAUCAGCUUGUUGGUGGGGUAGUGGCUUACCAAGGCUUUGACGGGUAGCCGGCCUGAGAGGGUGACCGGCCACAUUGGGACUGAGAUACGGACCAGAAUCCUACGGGAGGCAGCAGUGGGGAAUAUUGCACAAUGGGCGGAAGCCUGAUGCAGAAACGCCGCGUGCGGGAUGACGGCCUUCGGGUUGUAAACCGCUUUCGCCUGUGACGAAGCGGGAGUGACGGUAAUGGGUAAAGAAGCACCGGCUAACUACGUG